GGAGGAAGCCGAGGCGCGGCCAUCUUGAGUCUGUAAGGCUCCUGAGGUGCCGGGAGCGGCGGUGGCAGCCGGCAGGGCGAGGCCGGGCGGAAAGCGAGCCGGAGAAGGGAAAGCAGCCGGGCGUGGGCGCCUCCUCCGCGGCUCCCUCCAUGGUCGGCGCCUGCAGGCCGCGGCGGCCUGUCUUGCGCUCCAUCUCCGCUCCAUCCUCCUGCGCUGCUGCCUCUUCAGGGGCUGCCGGCCGCGCCGUGUCGAGCCCCCGGGGCUGAGCUCCGCGGCGCUGCGGCUGCGAGCGGCGAGGAGGCGCGGGGCCCGCGAGGCCCGUGAGGUGCCCUGAGGCUUGCGGCGGCGGCCAGCCGGCCCGCUUCCAGUGCGGCCGCCGGCGCUGGGGGAGAAUGAGCCCCGGGGCCCGCGGGCGCACGGCCCGGGCCAGGCCGGAGAUCUAGACUCCGGCCAGGGAGGGCAGGGCCCGGAGGCUCGCGGCCGCUGCUCGCCGGCCGCCCAAAGCUGGGCGGUUUUGUUUUCGCCUUGGCGUUGUGCGGAAUCAAAGCGCAAUAAGAUGUCCACUAGGACCCCUUUGCCAACGGUGAAUGAACGAGACACUGAAAACCACAUUUCACAUGGAGACGGGAGGCAAGAAGUCACCUCCCGCACCGGGCGCUCUGGAGCUCGGUGUAGAAACUCAAUAGCUUCCUGUGCAGAUGAACAGCCUCACAUCGGAAACUACAGACUGUUGAAAACAAUCGGCAAGGGGAACUUUGCAAAAGUGAAAUUGGCGAGACACAUCCUCACAGGCCGAGAGGUUGCAAUAAAAAUAAUUGACAAAACUCAGUUGAAUCCAACAAGUCUACAAAAGCUCUUCAGAGAAGUAAGAAUAAUGAAGAUUUUAAAUCACCCAAACAUAGUGAAGUUGUUCGAAGUCAUUGAAACGGAAAAAACUCUCUACUUAAUCAUGGAAUAUGCAAGUGGAGGUGAAGUAUUUGACUAUUUGGUUGCACAUGGAAGAAUGAAGGAAAAAGAAGCAAGAGCUAAAUUUAGACAGAUUGUUUCCGCAGUACAGUAUUGCCACCAAAAACGGAUUGUUCACAGAGACCUCAAGGCUGAAAAUCUGUUAUUAGAUGCGGAUAUGAACAUUAAAAUAGCAGAUUUUGGUUUUAGCAAUGAAUUUACUGUUGGCAGUAAACUAGACACGUUUUGUGGUAGUCCUCCAUAUGCAGCCCCUGAGCUCUUCCAGGGCAAGAAGUAUGACGGGCCAGAAGUCGACGUGUGGAGCCUCGGUGUCAUUCUCUACACCCUAGUCAGUGGGUCGCUUCCCUUUGAUGGUCAAAACCUGAAGGAACUGAGAGAGAGAGUACUCCGCGGGAAGUACAGAAUCCCUUUCUACAUGUCCACAGACUGCGAGAACCUUCUCAAGCGCUUCCUGGUGCUGAACCCAGUUAAACGGGGCACUCUCGAGCAAAUCAUGAAGGACAGGUGGAUCAAUGCAGGCCAUGAGGAGGAUGAGCUUAAGCCAUUUGUUGAACCAGAACUAGACAUCUCAGACCAGAAGAGAAUAGAUAUUAUGGUGGGAAUGGGAUAUUCCCAAGAAGAAAUUCAAGAAUCUCUUAGCAAAAUGAAAUACGAUGAAAUCACAGCUACUUACUUGCUACUGGGGAGGAAAUCUGCAGAGCUGGACGCUAGUGACUCCAGUUCUAGCAGCAACCUUUCACUUGCUAAGGUGCGGCCAAACAGUGACCUCAGCAAUAGCACUGGCCAGUCUCCUCAUCACAAAGGGCAGAGAAGUGUUUCCUCAAGUCAGAAGCAGAGACGGUACAGUGACCACGAAUGAACUCUUUAUUGUAGCUGGACCAGCUAUUCCUUCAGUUGUGGCAUAUCCAAAGAGGAGUCAGACCAGCACUGCAGAUAGUGACCUCAAAGAAGAUGGAAUUCCCUCCCGAAAAUCAAGCAGCAGUGCUGUAGGAGGGAAGGGGAUUGCUCCUGCCAGUCCCAUGCUUGGGAAUGCAGGCAAUCCCAAUAAAGCCGAUAUCCCUGAGCGCAAGAAAAGCCCUGCUGUGCCCAGUAGUAACACAGCAUCUGGUGGGAUGACACGGCGGAACACUUACGUUUGCAGCGAGAGAUGUGCAGCAGACAGACAUUCUGUGAUUCAGAACGGCAAAGAAAACAGCGCUAUUCCAGAUGAGAGAACUCCAGUUGCUUCAACCCACAGUAUUAGCAGUGCGACCACCCCAGAUCGCAUCCGCUUUCCAAGGGGCACAGCCAGCCGUAGCACUUUCCAUGGCCAACCUCGGGAGCGGCGAACCGCAACAUAUAAUGGCCCACCUGCCUCACCCAGCUUGUCCCAUGAAGCCACACCGCUGUCUCAGACUCGAAGCCGAGGUUCCACUAAUCUUUUUAGUAAAUUAACUUCCAAACUCACAAGAAGAAACAUGUCAUUCAGGUUUAUCAAAAGACUUCCAACUGAAUAUGAGAGGAACGGGAGAUAUGAGGGCUCAAGUCGCAAUGUGUCUUCAGAGCAGAAGGAUGAGAACAGAGAGGCCAAGCCCCGCUCCCUGCGCUUCACCUGGAGCAUGAAGACCACGAGCUCCAUGGACCCCAGUGACAUGAUGCGGGAGAUCCGCAAGGUGCUGGACGCCAAUAACUGCGACUACGAGCAGAGGGAGCGCUUCCUGCUCUUCUGUGUCCAUGGCGACGGGCACGCAGAGAACCUGGUACAGUGGGAAAUGGAAGUCUGUAAGCUGCCAAGACUGUCUCUGAAUGGAGUCCGGUUUAAGCGGAUAUCAGGGACAUCCAUAGCUUUCAAAAAUAUUGCUUCCAAAAUUGCCAAUGAGCUAAAGCUGUAACCCAGUAAUUAUGGUGUAAAUUAAGUAGCAAUUUAAGGUGUUUUCCAGAGCACUGAUGGAAAUGUAUAGAGUAAUAUUUAGGCAAUAACGUCUGCAUCUUCUAAAUCAUGACAUUAAAGUCUGAGGAUGAAAGCGAGCGCGCCUGGGAGCGAAGGCUGGCCUUCUCUACGAAUGCACUACAUUAAAGUCUGUGACCCCGUGCCUCUGUCUUGUUUCCAUUGCCCUGGGAGUCAGAGUGUAACACCAUCUGCACGCGGCUCCUUGUGUGGUGUGAGUGGAUGAUGUGUGGGGAGCACUGUUUUGGAAGCGGCUCCUCACACGGCAGCCAGCUUUACUAGUCCCUCUGUGGGAGAUCAUUUGGUGCUAAAACAUUACAGUUGCCAAGAAGGAAAAUAACUGAAUUACUGCUAAGAAUUAACCUUAAGGCUAGUUGAUAAUUAAUACAGGUUUACAGUUCAUGCCUGUGGUUUUGUGUUUGUUUCGUGAUUUUUUUUUUUGCUUUUUUUUUAAGUGCAAAAGGUUUAAAUUUAUAGUUGUGAACAUUGCUUGUGUGUGUUUUUCUAAGUAGAUUCACAAGAUAAUUAAAAAUUCACUUUUUCUCAGUAAAA